rnacentral:rRNA from 1 species
ACAGCUCAAAUUUGAAAUCUGGCUUCGGCCCGAGUUGUAAUUUGCAGAGGAAGCUUUAGGCGCGGCACCUUCUGAGUCCCCUGGAACGGGGCGCCAUAGAGGGUGAGAGCCCCGUAUAGUUGGAUGCCUAGCCUGUGUAAAGCUCCUUCGACGAGUCGAGUAGUUUGGGAAUGCUGCUCAAAAUGGGAGGUAAAUUUCUUCUAAAGCUAAAUACCGGCCAGAGACCGAUAGCGCACAAGUAGAGUGAUCGAAAGAUGAAAAGCACUUUGAAAAGAGGGUUAAAUAGCACGUGAAAUUGUUGAAAGGGAAGCGCUUGUGACCAGACUUGCGCCGGGCGGAUCAUCCGGUGUUCUCACCGGUGCACUCCGCCCGGCUCAGGCCAGCAUCGGUUCUCGCGGGGGGAUAAAGGUCCUGGGAACGUAGCUCCUCCGGGAGUGUUAUAGCCCGGGGCGUAAUGCCCUCGCGGGGACCGAGGUUCGCGCAUCUGCAAGGAUGCUGGCGUAAUGGUCAUCAGCGACCCGUCUUGAA